rnacentral:ncRNA from 1 species
AAAAAGGCCCUUUUCAGGGCCACAAAAAUGUUUUUCCAAAGAAUG